rnacentral:rRNA from 1 species
AGGCAGCAGUGGGGAAUAUUGCACAAUGGGCGCAAGCCUGAUGCAGCGACGCCGCGUGCGGGAUGGAGGCCUUCGGGUUGUAAACCGCUUUUGUUCAAGGGCAAGGCACGGCUUCGGGCCGUGUUGAGUGGAUUGUUCGAAUAAGCACCGGCUAACUACGUGCC